rnacentral:tRNA from 1 species
GCGGUGGUGGUGAAACAGCAGCCACGCCAGUCUUAGGAACUGGUGCCCGCGAGGGCGUGCCGGUGCAACCCCGGCCCACCGCA